GGCCAGACUCCUACGGGAGGCAGCAGUGGGGGAUAUUGCACAAUGGGGGGAACCCUGAUGCAGCGACGCCGCGUGGGUGAAGGAGCGUUUCGGCGCGUAAAGCCCUAUCGGCAGGGAAGAAGGAGGACGGUACCUGACUAAGAAGCCCCGGCUAACUACGUGCCAGCAGCCGCGGUAAUACGUAGGGGGCAAGCGUUAUCCGGAUUUACUGGGUGUAAAGGGGGCGCAGACGGCAGCGCAAGCCAGGAGUGAAAGCCCGGGGCCCAACCCCGGGACUGCUUUGGAAACUGUGUAACUAGAGUACAGGAGGGGCAGGCGGAAUUCCUGGUGUAGCGGUGAAAUGCGUAGAUAUCAGGAGGAACACCGGCGGCGAAGGCGGCCUGCUGGACUGAAACUGACGUUGAGGCUCGAAAGCGUGGGGAGCAAACAGGAUUAGAUACCCUAGUAGC
rnacentral:rRNA from 1 species